UCCUAAGGAUGAACAAAGAAAGUAGUUUCUUGAGAUAGAACCUAUUCCUGGUGAAAAUGCUAUGAA
rnacentral:pre_miRNA from 1 species